UAAUUGAUUGUCUCUAUAGUAGAGAUAAUAUGGUAGUGUUAACUGUUUAGAAUAUAAUGAUGCUUAAAACCCAAAAGGUUGCAAGGUAGUGACUAAUCCCAACUAAAGUUGUGAUACCUCUAAAACAUAAAUUACGAGUUGUUCAUUGAUGGGUGCUUUGGAUCGUUAGAUCCGGAUCCAAUACCUUCUUGUUAAAAUUGUAUAGAGGCGAAAUGUUCGAAUCUUUAUUCUUUUGGAAAGAAGAAAGAAUCACAAAGUUGUUGAGGUUAAUUCACUUAGAUGUUAGUGGGACUUGUCCACAAACUUAAUACUACUCAUGUUGUAUGACAUUCACCGAAGAUCACUCUCGGUUGGACUAUAGUUUAUUUUUGAAUAAACACAAAGUCCGAAUACUUUGCAAAAUGUUUCAAAGAAUUCAAUUAAUGUAAGUUGAUGAGUAAGACGUCUAAAGUAUUUACCUCCUUAGAUUUGAUCCAAGGAAAAUAAACACUUUAGAUGAGUCUCCUUGAAAGAUAUCAAGGAAAGAAGCAUCAUAAGAUAAUAGGUUUCUCCAUUAAGGAGAAGAACGAACUCGAAUAAGAUUUAGUUCGUUAGAUGUUAUCUAUUACCCAUAUAUAGGAUAUAUAUUUCUAAAAACAAUAUGAUUGUCAAUUAGAAGAUCUUCCAAAUUUUUUCAUGACUCCAUAAGAUGUAGUUGGAAAGAAAGACAAAUCUCAAGCAUGUUAAGAUUUGGGGUUGUGAGCUAAUAAGCAAUAUUUGUUUGAUAACAAUCUUGUGGGAUAUCCUUAAAUUAACUUUUGGAUAUCGCUUCUAUAAACCAACUAACAAAUGUUGUUUUGUUGAGUAGUUCAUUGUAAUCCUACAAUGUGAUUUGCCUAAAAGCAAAUAAACGAGAGAUAGAACUCAAAGAAUGGGUUCUUUGAGAGACAAGAAAGUAAUCAACAAAUAUAAACAACCUAGUUCCUAUACCAAAAGCUUCAAGGUAGUCAAGAAGGAUUUAUAAACCGUCUCAGUUGAAUGGUUUGAACUUUAUGACUAUGUCAUAGAGUUACACCUCUUAAUUCGAAAGAAAUAAGAAUGAAAAUCCUUAUGACUACAUUGAGUGCAUAUACGAUAUAUACUCAAGGAAAUGGUAAAGUACCAUUUAACCCGAAAUAAUGAAACCUUCAUAAGCUAAUUGGUAGCUUAAGGUGACUACAAUCAAAGAGAAUGGUUGACUUUGAAGGAACCAUUUUUGACGUAGUCUUAGUUUCAAUUAAAUUCGAAGAUUGCUAGCUACAACUAAAUGGUGAUUCAAUGUUUGGACAUAAUAUAGGUUUCCGAAACCAUUAUUAAGAUAGUCUUGAUAAUAUAUGUCUAAAACUAUGAAUCACAAUACAUGUAAGUUGUAGAGAUCCAUCCAUCAUG
rnacentral:lncRNA from 1 species